GCCCGCCUUAGCUCAAUCGGAUAGAGCGUCAGACUUUUAUAGCCUGAAAAUACAAUAUAACUGAUCUGAAGGCUGCGAGUUCGACCCUCGCGGUGGGCU